rnacentral:rRNA from 1 species
CGCUGGCGGCAGGCCUAACACAUGCAAGUCGAGCGGCAGCGCGUCCGACCACCCUCGGGUGGUCGGAUGGCGGCGAGCGGCGGACGGGUGAGGAAUGCAUCGGAAUCUGCCUCGUUGUGGGGGAUAACGUAGGGAAACUUACGCUAAUACCGCAUACGACCUACGGGUGAAAGUGGGGGACCUUCGGGCCUCACGCGAUGAGAUGAGCCGAUGCCGGAUUAGCUAGUUGGCGGGGUAAAGGCCCACCAAGGCGACGAUCCGUAGCUGGUCUGAGAGGAUGAUCAGCCACACUGGAACUGAGACACGGUCCAGACUCCUACGGGAGGCAGCAGUGGGGAAUAUUGGACAAUGGGGGCAACCCUGAUCCAUCCAUGCCGCGUGUGUGAAGAAGGCCUUCGGGUUG